ACGAACGCUGGCGGCGUGCCUAAUACAUGCAAGUCGAGCGAACAGACGAGGAGCUUGCUCCUCUGACGUUAGCGGCGGACGGGUGAGUAACACGUGGAUAACCUACCUAUAAGACUGGGAUAACUUCGGGAAACCGGAGCUAAUACCGGAUAAUAUAUUGAACCGCAUGGUUCAAUAGUGAAAGACGGUUUUGCUGUCACUUAUAGAUGGAUCCGCGCCGCAUUAGCUAGUUGGUAAGGUAACGGCUUACCAAGGCAACGAUGCGUAGCCGACCUGAGAGGGUGAUCGGCCACACUGGAACUGAGACACGGUCCAGACUCCUACGGGAGGCAGCAGUAGGGAAUCUUCCGCAAUGGGCGAAAGCUUGACGGAGCAACGCCGCGUGAGUGAUGAAGGUCUUCGGAUCGUAAAACUCUGUUAUUAGGGAAGAACAAAUGUGUAAGUAACUAUGCACGUCUUGACGGUACCUAAUCAGAAAGCCACGGCUAACUACGUG
rnacentral:rRNA from 1 species